rnacentral:sRNA from 1 species
AACACGUCUUAUCGGUAGCUGUAGGGUC